rnacentral:rRNA from 1 species
CCCUUAGAUGUUCUGGGCCGCACGCACGCUACACUGAUGCAUUCAACGAGUCUAAAACCUGCUCUGAUAGGGGUGGGUAAUCUUUUGAAUGUGCAUCGUGAUUGGGAUAGAUGAUUGCAAUUUUUCAUCUUCAACGAGGAAUGCCUAGUAAACGCAAGUCAUCAGCUUGCAUUGAUUACGUCCCUGCCCUUUGUACACACCGCCCGUCGCUCCUACCGAUUGAAUGAUCCGAUGAAUAUCAUGGAUUGAGGAUGUAAGCAGGUUCGCCUGUCUUCAUCUUCGAGAAGUGAAGUAAAUCUUAUCAUUUAGAGGAAGGAGAAGUCGUAACA